ACAUUGUGAUGUCAUUCCUUCUUCAAAGAAUAGUAUUCCAGCCCUAUAUAUAACUUAACUGGCAGCCACAGACAACCAGGAAUUCCAUGCCGAUGAGUGCACAGAAUUCCACACUGGCUCAAAGCUCAGACAGCUCAUCUGCUCCCAGCCUGCAAAACAUAAAGUCUUCCUAGAGUUCUGAACUGUUUUAUGCCCGACCUACAGAAAGGGGAAUGAUGUGAAGAUGCUACUUAAAUGGAAGGAUUCUGAUUGCUCAGGGAUCCGUUGUCCUCUGGGAGAUGUGCCGUCUCCAACCACCACCCUGCCUCCAUCCUAACCUUCAAACCCCGGCCUGAUGACGGCAUACAGUAAAUGAGGAACAAAGCUGCAAUUGUGCUGUCAUGGAUGAGAGCUGUCAGAGUCAGCAAAUCACGGCACUGUCUAGCCCUCCACCACUCUUCUAAAGACUUUUUCUCCAUGCUGCCAUCUUCUAGCUUACCCUUUUCUCCCCUUGCUCUCCAGUUUCGAAACAUAAACUACAUUUGAUGCACUGUUUGUCGAUUGGCAUUUUUUAUCAUUUUUUUCCUUCCUUAGUUCAGAUCAGGUCAUGUUUUUAAUGCUGUUCUUCAAACUGGCCACAGUGUGGCCACACUGAGCUGCAAAAUUAUAGGCAGUUACAGAAGAUUCAGGACAAGCAGGAAUUUAGUUUACAGUUCUUGUUUUUUAACUAAAGGGCUUAUAUUUUAGCUAACAUGCUGUGUCACAGGCUGCUUAGGAAUCCAAAAGCUUAAUGACAAAGCUCAUCAGAUUCUCUCUCCAAAUGUGGAGCCCAGGGCACGACCAGACUCUGGUUCUGCAACUUCUGUUAUUAGGUACACCCAAAACCACUGAUCCGCAGCCUAUCCCAUCCAAGCGCCCUUCCCCGUGAGGCAGGCUCACAGCCAAUGUC